GCCGAGGAAGCAGAAGGUUCAUUAUAUGGUCCUGGAAUAGAUGAUUAUGUAUGAACCAGUCAAAAGCUACAGUGAUCACCGCAAGACACCUUUUUUUUCAGGACCUCUGGGAAAACCGCCAUCACACGCUUAAAAAUCAAUAUUUUUGCAUAAAAAUUUUUUGUAAUACUCUUAGAAUAUACGUCUGUCAUAUGCUGAAA